rnacentral:rRNA from 1 species
UACGUAUGGGGCAAGCGUUAUCCGGAUUUACUGGGUGUAAAGGGAGCGUAGACGGUAAUACAAGUCUGGAGUGAAAGGCAUGGGCUCAACCUGUGGACUGCUCUGGAAACUGUAUAACUAGAGUACCGGAGGGGUAAGCGGAAUUCCUGGUGUAGCGGUGAAAUGCGUAGAUAUCAGGAGGAACACCGGUGGCGAAGGCGGCUUACUGGACGGAAACUGACGUUGAGGCUCGAAAGCGUGGGGAG